UACCAAUUUAAUAAUUGAUAUAAAUUUGUUAAACCUAAUAUAAGAACAAAUCAUUAGUUAAUGCUAUGAAAGAAAUGUUUUUAAUCUGGUUUUGAUUUUAACGUCGCAGUAUGGACAGAAAUCCACAUCGUUCGCACAUGUUUCACAAGUUACUCUGUGUCCACACUCAACAAACAGUAUUGACUUGGUAGUUUUUUCACAUCUAAUACACAUCAUCUUUUUCUUCAGCUCUUUGUUGACUUCUCUAACUUUCUCCGGAUCUCCUGUAAGAAGUUUUGAUUUUCAUUCAUUUUAAAAGGAAUUCUCAUUUUAUCUUGGUGUAUGAAUUCUAAAAAUCCUGCUCAAUAUCUUAUGACAAAAAAGUUUGUAUAAAUGCCAAUUAAACAAUAAGUGGUCUUAAUAGUUUAAUUUAGUACGCCAGACGCGCGUUCGUCUAUAGUUCAUAGCAUUAACUAAUGUAGUUCGGUCUUCUGUACUGAGUACGUUCGGCCUAUGUAAUUGUAGUCUCUAAAUUGCCGGUGUCUGUUUAGAUUUUCUUUUUCUAGCUUUUUUCUUUUUUCUCAAUCUGUAUUCAACUACUGUUUACAAAAC
rnacentral:lncRNA from 1 species